rnacentral:tRNA from 1 species
UCCGAUAUGGUGUAGUGGCCAACAUGAUGCCCUCUCAUCUGUUGAGAGGUCAGGCAUAGCCCCGAGUUCGAUUCUCGGUUUCGGAA